rnacentral:rRNA from 1 species
CGGACGGGUGAGUAACACGUGGGAAUCUGCCUUUGAGUGGGGGAUAACUGACCGAAAGGUUAGCUAAUACCCCAUACGUCGCAAGAUGAAAGGAGCAAUCCGCUCGAAGAUGAGCCCGCGUCCGAUUAGCUAGUUGGUAAGGUAAGAGCUUACCAAGGCAGUGAUCGGUAGCUGGUCUGAGAGGAUGAUCAGCCACAAUGGAACUGAGACACGGUCCAU